rnacentral:tRNA from 1 species
UAGCUCAGUCAGCAUAGCGCUAACAAUGCUAAGGUCGCGGGUUCGAUUCCCGU